rnacentral:rRNA from 1 species
AGCAGCCGCGGUAAUUCCAGCUCCAAUAGCGUAUAUUAAAGUUGCUGCAGUUAAAAAGCUCGUAGUUGAAUUUCGGGACCAAUAUGUCGGUCGUGCCUCGGUACGUACUGGCACCGUUGGUUUCUCCCUUCUGACGAACCAUGAUGUCAUUUAUUUGGUGUCGUGGGGAAUCAGGACUGUUACUUUGAAAAAAUUAGAGUGUUUAAAGCAGGCUCACGCUUGAAUACAUUAGCAUGGAAUAAUGAAAUAGGACGUUUGAUUCUAUUUUGUUGGUUUCUAGGAUCGACGUAAUGAUUAAUAGGGAUAGUUGGGGGCAUUAGUAUUCAAUUGUCAGAGGUGAAAUUCUUGGAUUUAUUGAAGACUAACUACUGCGAAAGCAUUUGCCAAGGAUGUUUUCAUUAAUCAAGAACGAAAGUUAGGGGAUCGAAGACGAUCAGAUACCGUCGUAGUCUUAACCAUAAACUAUGCCGACUAGGGAUCGGAUGAUGUUAAUUUUUAAUGACUCAUUCGGCGCCUUAAC